AUUGAACGCUGGCGGCAUGCCUUACACAUGCAAGUCGAACGGCAGCAUGAUCUAGCUUGCUAGAUUGAUGGCGAGUGGCGAACGGGUGAGUAAUACAUCGGAACGUGCCCUGUAGUGGGGGAUAACUAGUCGAAAGAUUAGCUAAUACCGCAUACGACCUGAGGGUGAAAGUGGGGGACCGCAAGGCCUCAUGCUAUAGGAGCGGCCGAUGUCUGAUUAGCUAGUUGGUGAGGUAAAGGCUCACCAAGGCGACGAUCAGUAGCUGGUCUGAGGAGACGAUCAGCCAGACUGGGACUGAGACACGGCCCAGACUCCUACGGGAGGCAGCAGUGGGGAAUUUUGGACAAUGGGGGCAACCCUGAUCCAGCAAUGCCGCGUGUGUGAAGAAAGCCUUCGGGUUGUAAAGCACUUUUGUCCGGAAAGAAAUCGCACUUACUAAUAUUAGGUGUGGAUGACGGUACCGGAAGAAUAAGGACCGGCUAACUACGUGCCAGCCGCCGCGGUAAAAC
rnacentral:rRNA from 1 species